AUCCAACUGACGAGCCCCAAAUAGGACGAAACUUGCGUUAUGGAU
rnacentral:hammerhead_ribozyme from 1 species